GUAAAGCAGUAGGGUUGGCUAAACCUUUUCCAGCAAUAUCAGGGGCAGUACCAUGAACAGCUUCAAAGAUGGAAGCUUGGUUGCCAAUGUUUCCGGAAGGAGUCAAACCAAGACCGCCAAUUAAACCAGCGCACAUAUCAGAAACAAUAUCACCGUAUAAAUUGGGCAUAACCAUAACUGUGUUGUUAUAAGGGACAGGAUCGGUGACAAUCUUCAAGCAGGCGUUAUCCAAGAUUUCCUCCCUAAGCUCGAUAUCAGGAUAUUCAGGUGCAAGCUCCUUGGCGCAUUCCAAAAAUAAACCGUCAGCCAUGCGCAUAAUGGUAGCCUUGUGGACUACGGUGAUGUUGUUCUUGCCAGUUUGGCGAGCAUAUUGGAAUGCAUAACGAAUAACACGCUCAGAUGCUGCGCGAGUAAUUAAUUUAAUCGAUUGAACAACGCCUGGUAUAACUUCAUGCUCGAUGCCUGAGUAUUCACCCUCAGUGUUCUCACGAAUCAAAACGGUAUUAACGUUAUCAUAAGGUGUUUUGUAUCCCGUAAUAGAUACACAGGGACGAACAUUGGCAAACAAGCCGAAAGUACGACGCAAAGUAAGGUUCAUAGAAACAUGACCCUUCCCAAUUGGGGUUGCCAAUGGACCUUUCAAAGCCACUUUAUUUUUCCUAACAGAUUCCUUAGCAUCAUCAGGAAUAGUAGUAGUACCUAAACGAAUUAGUAAACGUGAUUUUCGUGCGCGAUAAUCUCGAGGAGACAUGGAAGGACUUGACAAGCAGGAACAAGCAUUGCUGACAAAAACGUAUAAAAGAAAGGCCAAACUGCAUACAAAUCCAACCAUCUUCUCUUAUACUUGACAUACCAUUUUUCAAAAUAGGAUAUACUUUUACACGUUCCCAUUCGAUAGGGACCUACAAUACAAGUCGUUAAUGACUAAAUGACGGAUGACUCGACAAACCUUUGCAGCCUUAAAUAUACGUUCUACAGACUGAGCAAUUUCUGGACCAAUGCCAUCGCCAGCAAUCAUCGUUACUGUGUAGUUCCCGUUGGCAUUCUUUACUCCUUCAUAUGUCCCAGCGGCAGCCUUCGUUGAAGAAAAUCUCUGCUAAAAAUAACUC